AAAACUAGAUCAAUGAAAAAAAAAACACUAAGAAUAAAAAUCAAAGUACACUUUCAUAUUUGAUCCAACUGUUUUGAUGACUAAAUGUUUUUUAAGACACAAUGUUUUUUAAAUGGUUAUUAAAUAUUCCAACAUGAAUAAAAAUCACAACAAGAACACAACAUUGUCAGGAUAUACUCAGGAGACAGAGGUAAGGUGAAUUCAGAACAGUGAUUUAUUGAGUGAUAUAUGUACAAGUGCGGUGAAUUCGUUUCCUCAAGUGCUCGUUGAAUCUCCAAUGAAGAUAUACGUGCUCUGAGUGUCACAUGGAAUGGAAUAUCCAGGCAGGUAAGUUUGCUAGGUUCUUGUAACGUCAAAGCCACAAUCAAGAUCAUUCACUGGCGUUCUCUCUAUCCUUAGAUGCCGAAGACAGUAACUACAUCAGGGGAAUCACAGGAGAUUUCAGCGACCAUAGAAUCACCGGUACAGAGCUGAUGAUCAGCGGUCCUGAGGGCAGCAGAGCAAAGACACAGGUUAGUGUAACACCAGUAGGUGAGUAUACGUUACGUCAGGCAAGGAGAGCUUCAGGAGACGAGAGUGAAGAGUCU
ensembl:lncRNA